rnacentral:lncRNA from 1 species
AAUGCUCCUUUGGUUUCUAUGGUUAUAACUGUGCCUCAGACUGCAAGAAAUGUUAUGGGGGAUUCCAGUGUAAUUCAGUAACUGGUGAAUGUCCUGAAAGGAUGGAAUGUAUUGGUAAAUUCAAAGGUGAACUGUGUGAAUUAGGUAUCAGGAAUCCAAAAUGUCCCCACAAUGCCCCAUGGUGGUUCUAUGAUGGCCAUUGUUAUUAUUUUGAAAAGGAAAUGAAGGGACAACAUGCAUGGGCAAACACACGAUGUUCCUACUAUAAGGAUAGCCACCUUGUCAGAAUUGACAGUGAAAAGGAAAAGAAGUGGCUUGGUAAUAUGUUGGAAGCAGAGAGCUGGAUUAGCUUGCUACAGAGAGGAAAUAAAUGGAAAUGGAGUGCAAGUGGUGAAGAUAUUGAUCCAUCAAAAUAUUCCUGAUGGUCAUGACCCUUUCAUUAGCUACCCUGGGAAAAUUAUGCUGGCUGUUUAUCCUAUGGCUGUAUAUAAAGAUCUUGUUGAAGCAAAAAUCCAUUGUGUAUUAAGAGAGAACUGUACUGGAAUAAGUAGCUGGACAAAUGAACAUUUUCUUGUCACUGGAAUGGAAAUGGUGUCCGGUUCAGCUCACCACAUAUUUCAUUUAAAAACCAGUUGCUCACCAGGACAUCAUGGCCAUCUGUGUAGUCAGGAAUGCCCAAUGUGUAGAGACAAUGCACGUUGUAACAUGUUGACUGGGUUAUGUGAUGAGAAAUCCACCUGUUGGGAUCAGUCUUCUAUAGAAAAUUGUUCAAGAAGUAAGUUUAAAAAUAACACUAUAAUUCUGUAUGAUUUUAUUGAUUCCUCUCUCUUUCCCUGAAGCAACUCUUGCAAAUAUUCUUA